ACAGUCAAAUCACGCUGAAAUACCGGUUCUCGUUCGAUCACCGGGGUUAAGCAUCAUAGAGCCAGGUCAGUACUUAGAUGGGGACCGCUUGGGAACACCUGGUACUGUAAG
rnacentral:rRNA from 1 species